rnacentral:ribozyme from 11 species
AGACAGAGAGAGAGAGAGAGAGAGAAAGGGACCCCAGGCAAAUGGACCCAUGCACCGAAAGAUCCGAUAGUUACUUGAGCACCAAAAAUCAAUCCCUUUUUCUUUCUUUUUUAUUGUUCCUUUUUUUU